GGGCCGGUAGUUCAGUUGGUAGAGCAUCCGUUUAGCAUAGGAAGGUCCUAGGUUCGACUAGCCAGCCCA